UUGUUAGAGGCGCGAAGGUAAUCAGUACCCCGGCUCCGGUUCUCAAAAACCCAUGGAGCCGCCGGGAAAGGUGCAUUCGCCGAAACGGGUGCCGUUUGAGCGGGAACUUGUUGGGCGUCAGGAGAAGAUCCUGCCGACUGUCGCAAUACCAAUGCGGAGUGCUUUCAU
rnacentral:ncRNA from 1 species